rnacentral:tRNA from 1 species
GCAUUUAUGGUCGAGGGGUCGAAGGCACCGGACUCAUAAUCCGUUUUCUUUUAAGAACAACAUUGGUUCAAAUCCAAUUAAAUGCA